rnacentral:rRNA from 1 species
UACAGAGGUCUCAAGCGUUGUUCGGAUUCAUUGGGCGUAAAGGGUGCGUAGGUGGCGCGGUAAGUCGGGUGUGAAAUUUCGGAGCUUAACUCCGAAACUGCAUUCGAUACUGCCGUGCUUGAGGACUGGAGAGGAGACUGGAAUUUACGGUGUAGCAGUGAAAUGCGUAGAUAUCGUAAGGAAGACCAGUGGCGGAGGCGGGUCUCUGGACAGUUCCUGACACUGAGGCACGAAGGCCAGGGGAGCAAACGGG